UUGAUUCAGGAACUUGGUCUGGGGCUGAAGCCCAACCAAGCCCCUUUUUCUUGUGUGAAAACUAAAAACUCAAAGAAGAAAGCAAAAUGGUGCAUUGCGUAUGAGGCACUGAGGUUGCCCUUUAUCAUAAAACCCCUCUUGUCAAUAAACCCUGGCACCUCUCUGACUCUAACUCAAAUCACAUAUACACACAAAAUCCCUAGCUUUGCUUCAGAGAGAGAGAGAGAUGGAUAUUGAUGGGGUUAACGAAGAAGAGAAUUUAAGGUGAGCCCAAGUACGGUUUGUGACGAAGCUCAAACCACCUCUGACAGUUCCUCCUUUACCAAUUGCAAUCCCUAGUAACCUCACAAGAUUAGGGCUUUCCUCUCUCGUCAACAAUCUCAUCCAAAAUGGAAAUCCUGAUUGGAAUACUCAGCGCUUUGAUUUUCUCAUCGAUGGUGAACUCGUUCAAAUGUCCCUCGCCAAGUUCCUUCUUGCCAAAUCCAUUUCUGCGGAAAAGAUAUUGGAAAUUGAAUACAUAAAGGCUGUGGCCCCAAGGAAAGAAGAAGAACCUUCAUUGCAUGAUGAAUGGGUAAGCUCGGUCGAUGUUUUGGAUCCCAGGUAAGCAUUAGUAGUAAAAACAGACAUGUCAAUUAAGGAUGUAACAGAGAAUAUGACUAGUUUGUUGGGAUUGAAGCUUAGUUGUUAAAGUUGUUGUUCAUGGGUACUCCAUAAAUAUUUAUUAGAUUACGAGAUGCUUAUAUGAUGGAAAUCGCAAAAUA